GGAGGUUGGAAUCGUCGGCGUAAUGGCAUCCACGUUUUGACGAACGUGUCAGAAAGGAGACUACUGAGUAUCUUAGGUUUUGCAUUUCCAGUGAGUAAACUCUUUGGAAAGCUGAUGAUUGGUAUUCUCGAGUUCUAUGCGGCGUCGCGAGACAAGGAAAUCGCAGUGGCAAAGUUGUUGACUGAAUAUAAUGUAUUGGCUUAGUGCUUGGAAGGAAGAAUGCGCUCUUUUGAGUCACCAGCCGGUUGUGAGUGUUGAACACGUAAUUUUGUAUCAAUUGGAUAAAAUGCAACACACAGAAGUCAAUUAUUAAUUUCACUGGAACCAUAUAAUCAGUAUUGUGGCAAAGUGACCAUGGAUGACCAUGUAUACGUAUUUCCUGGUACUCAUCCCCGGAUAUCAAAUCUUUGCUCCACCACUACAACAUCUUGAGACAUGGUUCAAGUCUUUGUCUUCUAGAUCAAAGAACUUUGUUUGCCUCAAGAUUACGACUUGCUUUGAAGAAAAUAAACAAGUUUGCUGUUGUUAGCACUCAGCCGCCCUCUCAAACUAAUGAAACUAUUGAAAAGCCAAAGAAUAUUCUAAAUUUCAUUUGCCCAUCUAAGGCAAUGACACACAGCAAAAUAUAGGUUUUAAAUGUUAAUAUAUAAUUAUCCAAUUUUUCUGCAUUUACAAUUACCAGGAAUUAUUCAGUGACUCUGCAAUUAAAAACCUCUCGCCAAUUUUAUAAGCCGGUGC